UGCGCGGAGCGAGGCGGCGCGAGCGGGUCUCGGGGUCCGCGGUCGGGGUGGCGGGGUGGCCGGGCCUCCUCCGUCCCGGGAACGGGGCCUUUGGAAGCCCUCCGACCCGAGGCCGGCAAGGACCGGAGGGCGAGGGAGCCCUGCCUGCCCGAGUGCAGCCCGCGGGGGCGGCUUUCUGGGCGCGCCUCCUGACGCGGGCGGGGAGUAGUGUUGCCUGGCGAGUGUGGACGCGACGUGGGCAGCGCGUGGUCGCCGGUGCAGUCGGGCGGUCCCUUCAGGCGGACGGCGGGGAGUUCUGAGAAGUCCCUCUCGUUGGAGGACCCCUUGCUCCCAUAAGUACUUGCCUAUUCUGGCAAUCACAUGGACAUUGGAUGCUAACCAUUGGCGCUGACCUGUCACAGGACAUCCCAGGAGGACGUUGUGCAGCCGUGUGCCUCAUCCUGCCUGACUUCUCAUGCCUGGUCUACUGUGGAUGCCAUAUAUGGAGCAGUCACAACCCAGGCAAGUACUCAGGACUCUGUUUUACAUCCCUUGGCUUCCUUUCCAUUAUUUUUUUUAAUGGUUCUGCCACAGUCACACAAUAGCAUCAUGUCUGAGGUCAUUGGGAUCCAGGAAACAGGGAGCGUCCAGAGAGGUUGGGCUGCCUGAGGCAAGACAUCCCCAGCAGAGCUGCUGAGGGUAGUGCCAUGGGGCUGAGAUCUCACAGCAAAAAGAUGAAAAAGUAUCAUAUUGUUGCUGCAACAGGAGAUUCAGUGUUGGAAUCUACACAUCCUGAUGGCACAUUUAGCAUUUGACCCAUGGGAUGGGGCACACAUCUACAGAGGAGGAUUGGUUUGUCAAUGUGUGGGAGCAGUUGAUGUGUUUAGGGAGGGAUAUCCUCCUUAUGUUCCCCAGGCCCUCUUUAUGACACUGCUGAUUUUGCACUUGGUCUUCAUUUUCAGCCCAAGACCUAACGGCUACUCCACUAAUGCACAAAACACCAAAGGGCAGAGGGUAGGAGAAAUUGAAAAAUGUUGUGAAGGAAAAAUUUUGAGAGAGAGAGAGAGAGAGAGAAAGAGAGAGAGAGAGAGAAACUAGGCAUUGCAUCCAUCUUUCUCGUUCCUCUGGGAUGUGUUUGGGCCCCUUACAGAUGUUUCUGGGGAUGUCGAUGACUGUAUGACACAAGAUUUCCUUUGUGACCCCUAUGGGAAUACAUUUUCUCCGGUUUAUGCCAGGAACAGUUGCUUCAGUCUUCCAAGAGCAUGCUGUGCGUCCUGCGGUCGAAUCUGCUUCCCUCUGUCCUGGAGUCUUUCACGCUCAGAACUCAGAACCUGGGUCUCCCGUUCCUCCCCAGGAACAAGCCCACCCAGCUUCCUGCUGCUUUUCCUGCCUAAAUUCUUUUCCUUCUGAUCGCCUCACCUGAUUUUUCCUUCAAUUUUUAUCACAGUGUUUUGUAGAAUCAUUGAAACACUUGAUAUCCUCUUUGGAAACAGUGGUAUAUAAAUAAAUUGUAGUUAAAACCUUGAGGGGGAGAAGUCUUUGUUACUUAGGGACCUUGGGCAACUAUCCUGUGGUUUUGCUGUUUGGUUUUCUCCAGCGGGCAUGUAACGUACAGGUUCUGGAGUCUGGCCACUGGGGGUUCAGGUCUUCACUCUACUACUUCCCUCUUGUUUGAGCUCAGUGGUGGUUGGACGCAGGCCUCCCUCUGCACAUUGCCAUUUGCUUCAUCAAAACUGGGAGAAGAUGAGGGAAGUCUGUAUUAGUGAUCCUCUCCAGCUUUGCCCUGUCCUAAUUUGUAUGAAUCACAAUAAAGCAGUAACUGUAAGAGCAGAUGAGCACCAAACCUUGUGGCUGGGCGAGGGUCAGGAGGCUGCCGGGUAGAGUAAUAUUGG